rnacentral:rRNA from 1 species
GACGAACGCUGGCGGCGCGCCUAACACAUGCAAGUCGAACGAGCGAGAGAGAGCUUGCUUUCUCAAGCGAGUGGCGAACGGGUGAGUAACACGUGAGGAACCUGCCUCAAAGAGGGGGACAACAGUUGGAAACGACUGCUAAUACCGCAUAAGCCCACGACCCGGCAUCGGGUAGAGGGAAAAGGAGCAAUCCGCUUUGAGAUGGCCUCGCGUCCGAUUAGCUAGUUGGUGAGGUAACGGCCCACCAAGGCGACGAUCGGUAGCCGGACUGAGAGGUUGAACGGCCACAUUGGGACUGAGACACGGCCCAGACUCCUACGGGAGGCAGCAGUGGGGAAUAUUGCACAAUGGGGGAAACCCUGAUGCAGCGACGCCGCGUGGAGGAAGAAGGUCUUCGGAUUGUAAACUCCUGUUGUUGAGGAAGAUAAUGACGGUACUCAACAAGGAAGUGACGGCUAACUACGUG